rnacentral:lncRNA from 1 species
CUGAUGACAAAGGGUUUCUGAUUUUUUUUUCAAUGGGGCAAAAGUAGGGAUGACAGAGAAAAUGUUGGAAUGAGAGAGAUGACAGAGAAAAUGUUGGAGUGAGAGAGAUGAGAGAGAAAGGGUUGAGGGAGGUGAGUAAGGGUUUGGGGGUUUCUUUGUUUUUUUCUAGUUUUGAGAAUGAAAAUUAUUUAAAUAUCUUUGACCUUAAAACUUGAAUCCAUGAUAAAUGAGGGUACUUUUGUCUACUAUAAUCCGGUACACAUUGUUAAAACGUACCAACUGAAAAACAGGCGUACGCGUGUUAACAAACCCCUGUAUAU